rnacentral:lncRNA from 1 species
UAGCUUAUACCAUGGCUCCAAAUAUGUGGAAUGUUCUAUCAGAAUCUAAAAGCAUAGUAAAUUCUCAACCUCAUCACUACCUCACUCUCUCCCUCAUCUUCCUCCUACCUCUCUCUUUCUUAUCCCUCCUCUUCCAAUUCAUUUCCAAAAACUUUCAACAGCAACUCUCCACAAACCCCACCACAAUCAUCUCCUUGUAUCUCCUCUUCAUCAUUCUCUCUUGCAUCAUCGCCUUUGGCGCCGUCAUCACCAUCACCUACAGCGUCUUCCACGCUUGCUUUAACCGACCAGUCAAACUCAAAGAAGCCCUCAAAUCCAUCAUCACUUCCUUCUUCCCCCUCCUCGCCACCGCAACAGUUGCAUUCGUCGUCUUCUUCUUCAUAUUUUUUCUAUUUGGACUUCUCAUUGGACUUGUAUUGUUUCUCAUCACUUACCUAGGCCAUGUCGACCUCAAAACUAACCCUAACUUGGUUGCGUUAUGUUUCAUGGUACUUUUCAUGAUUGUUUUACUCCCUCUUGUGACGUAUUUGCUAGUUAACUUGAGCUUUAUGAAAAUUAUUGUGGUGGUGGAAUCAAGUUGGGGUUUUGAACCAUUGAGGAGAAGUUGGAAAUUGGUGAAAGGAAUGAAAAGGUUGGUUUUGUCAACCAUUUUAUUGUUUGGAUUCUUGGAAGUGAUAUUGCUGAAGAUAAGUUGUUACAGUUUGGUACUAGUUUUAGUGAUUUCUCCUAUACUUGCAAUUCUUAUGCUUUACAAUAUUGUGGUUAAUACGGUGCUGUACAUACACUGCAAGGAGAAGCAUGGUGAAGUUGCAGAUGUGGAAUUUGGGAACGAAAAAGAUGGGGCUAACUUGUCCUUAAUUCCAGUAUAGAAAUGGUUGAUAAAGUUCCUCGUCUAAGUUGUCUUUGCUUUUAGUUUUUUAUCUUGUACUAAUGUCUUUAACUUUGUGAUUAAUUUAAUGUUUGGUUUGUUCAAGUCUUCUCCUUUGUGAUUAAUUAAUUAUGUGGUUGUUCAAUUUUCUUUCUUUUUCAAACCAAGGUAUAUCCUUUGUAAUAACUGAGUUGUAUACAAAGAUCCUUUAAAAAAAUAAAAAUACAAAGAUAAAUUAUACAUUAGAAAUUGUGUGAAUUUUUUUUCUUCAAAAUUUUGAUAAUUAUUUGUUGCCAAUAAAUUAUUAAUAGAAUUUUUAACAUGUGAUUUAUACAUGAUACCGGUUAAAAUAUUGAACUUUUCCGACUCGGUAUUAUUUAAUACACUUGUUGUUAGAGAAUACAAUUAGACACUUAAAUAAAUAAUAGGUUAUUAUCCAUUAUCAUUGUUAUAUAUAGGGUGUGUUUGGUUUGCAAAACAAUAAUUAUUGGAUAGAACAGUACAACAUAAGGUAGAACAGCACAAGACAAAUUUUGUUGAAGCAUUAAGGUGAUGUUGGAAAAUAAAUUGGAAGAUUAAACAUAAUAGUAAUUAUACUUUGAUCUAAUGUGUGAAUUGAAAAAAUAGAGUGUGGAGGUCCCACGUAAAAUAGAACUCACACAUUAGUAGUGUUUAAAUUGUGAUAUUUAAUUUUAAAUACUUGAUAAUUAUAAAAAUAAUAGUAAUUAUUAUUUUUAUUCGAGAAUAUCACUUCCCAUAAAUUUAGCUUAUGGUGGUUGUGAUAAGAAUAAGAAUUUAAUUGAAUUUUUUAUAUUUUCUUCAUUCAAUCCAACAGUUUGUUUCCUCCACUUUUGUGGAUUUGUUUCAGUUGAUCCUAUCCACAAGUGUUGUUGAACUGAUUAAUGGAUAAACUUCAUUUUAAUCUUAUCGAUUAGAGUAACUGUUGUCGCAAUUUAUGCUAAAACAGUUACAGAAUCUCUAUAAAUAGAAGACUCCACUCAGUUCAAAAAACACACCAAAAAGUUUCAUUGAGUUGACGAGUCUUUCAUCUCUCCAUCUCCUUUUUUCUGUCCCUUCGAAAUUAAGAGUGUUCUUAAACCAUAGUCCCUUUUCGGUUUAAUGUCCCUUUGGAAUUAAGAAUGGUCUUAAAAACAUAGUCCCUUCGAUAAUAUAAGUCCCUUCGGAAUAAAGAGUACUAUUAAGAUCAUAGUCCCUUUUGGAAUAAUAAUGUCCCGUCGGAAUUAAAUCUUAACAGUAUAUAAAUAUUCUUCCAAUAUUUUAAUUGAGGAGAAAUUAAAAAAUGGAAAUGGUGGUAUCACCAUAUUUGAGUGGUCGUAGUGCCAUAUUGAUACUUUGGAGAAAUUAAAGUUAGAAUGGUGGUAACACCAUAUUUGAGUGGUCUCAGCACCAUAAUAGAGCGGUAACAAUACCAUAUCCGAAGGUGUAAAUCUCGAAUGGUUUUCUACACUGCAGUAGUUAACCGCACAAUUGUAACUGAGCUUGUUUUAUCCUGGAGGCGGCGUGGUUGAUAGUUGCCUUGCACAAUUUUGGACAGUGCCAUGAAAUGUCUUAAAAAGAGUGAUCUGGUCGUGACUCAACCUAGUAACAACUUCGGUUGAUAAUAGAAUUUGGAAAUCCAAAUACAACAGUUUGGAAAUCCAAAAACAACAAUUUUAAGACGUUUCGAUCUGACUAUAUUAAUUUCAAAUUUUCUAACUUCAUGAUUUUUAAUUUCUUUCUUCUGUAACUUUUCGUUUUUGGUUCUGGUCCCUGUAAUAUAGUCAGGGAUCUUCUAGAAGGCCACCUAAAUUUCAUAUUUAGGUGUUUUUAAUUUCGUCCCUCUGUACCUUUUCGUUUUUGGUUUUGGUCCCUGUAAUAUAGUCAGGGAUCAUCUGUCAGUCCACAUAAGCGUGUUUAGCCAAGUCAGCACGUGUCACAUUACUCAUGUUGUUAGCCAACAAGGCGUUUUUGUAACAGAGUUUGACAGGAGGGACGAAAAGCAAAAAGUUAUUAACUUACAGGGGUUAUUUUAGAACAAAAAAAGAUACAGGGACGAAAACCAAAAACACGCCAAAUUACACGGACGAUUUACAUAUUUAAGCCCUUUUUAAUUUAAUUAUUAUAGCAUAUGAUUUCAGCAGCCUCUUAAAAAAAAAAGCAUAUGAUUUCAGCAAAAAAAAAAAAAAUUAGUAUAUGAUUUUGCUCCCACUUAACAAUAUUUAUGGAUUCGUCCCUGGUUUGAUCCACUUGUUAAAUGGCAUGAACAUAAACCUCGAAUUGUGAAUUAGAUUAGGCACUAGAUUGACCAAACAAGGACAUAAAGAGGAUUCAGAAAAUUCUAAUCGUCAUCAUUUUGUUUUUGAUUAUCUUUUAUUUUCAAUUGCAAACCAAACCCUGAAAAUACCUUAAUUUAUAGUUUUUAUUAAGUAUUGUUGCUUAAAUUGUCGAGUAGAAAACAACGAUACAUUUUUUUUUGAAGGAAGAAAACAACGAUACAUAUGAAGACGAUUGACUUACUACUUUAUAAUUUAUACGAUUUGAUACACUUACCGAAUUUAUCAUCAUAUUGUGAGAUGCUGUAUAAUUGCAAAAACAUUAAAAUUUAUGUUGACCCUCUCAUUUCCCUCUAGUCUCCUUUUGCGUGUGAAAAUCCCUUUAAGAAACUUGGCAUAUCUUAGAAGCAACUUGAUCACUUCAAAGAGAGGAAUAUUUUUUUUUUUUUUUGAACAAUCAAAGAGAGGAAUAUUCAAUUCAACCUUUCUAAAUAUAUCAAAGAUUUCCCUAUCCAUAUACGAUAUAUGCAUGCAUGAUUCAUUUUCCCUUACAUAACUUCCAGACCCCACUACUUGAAAAAUGAGCAUACAAGCAAUCGCGACAGAUCAUAUCACAAAUGUGAAAACUACACCUGCUGCUCGUUAAGAACCUUAUCAAGCACGAGUUUACAACUACUCUAGUAAAAAACCGUAUAAAAAAACUUAAUAGUGAUGAAGCGAAAAAGAGUACAGGACAAUACAAUGAAAAAAACAUAAAAAAUAAGCCCAUAAAAAACGAGGGCAAAAACCAAAUUCUAACAAAAUUAAGCAAUACGCAAAAAGAACCAAUAGAAAGAGCUAAACAACAUAAAAUUACACUACUUGAAUAUCUAAAAAUAUUACCAAAAGUAGCAUGACCACGACUAUUUAUUUUUAUUUUUUUAAAACAAAGACCACAACUAUAUUUUUAUUUUAAUAAAAAAACCAGGACUAUUAUUACUUAGCUUACGUAGUUGAUAUAAAAUAAUGGUUUUCUUUCUUUCAAAAAUAAAAUAAAAUAAUGGAUUUGUCUAACGUAUUGCAAUGUUAAAACAACUAAAAUAGUAACUUUUAAUUGAAAAAUAAUCAUUUAUUAAAAAGUUAUUAUAUUCAUUAAUAUAAAAUCUAUAAGUUCUAAUAAAAAUUUAUUAUUUUAAAUUUUUUAACGCAUGUAAAUUUGCACAUAGAAAAUCCUAAUAUAAAAAGAGAGAGGGAGAGAGAAAGAAAGUGGGUUGUUAUGCAUGUGAUUUCGAUGAAAUUGCUUUCUUUUUUCUCAGAGGACGAUGCAAUAUUCUACUUCUACCUACAAUUUAAGUUGAUUAUUUCUAUUACUUUUCAAUACUUUUUUUUGACCAAAUCUUUAAUACUUGUCACCAGGGAUAUUAUAUCUUAUAAAAACCGAAGUAUACAUGGUGAAAAAGUUCACAAAAGCCUAGUCUCUCUUACACCAUGGCUCCAAAAAUGUGGGAUCUUCUCUCUGAAUCUAAACGCAUAAUAAAUUCUCAACCUCGUCACUACCUUAAUCUCUACCUCAUCUUCCUCCUUCCCCUCUCUUUCCUCUCCCAAAUCUUCAAACACCUUCAACAGCAACCACCCAGAAACCACAGCACAAUCACCUUUUUAUCUAUCAUCUUCUUACUUAUCUCUUCCAUCUUCAGUUAUGGCGCCGUCAUCACCAUCACCUACAGCGUCUUCCACGCCUUCUUUGAUCGACCGGUCAAACUAAAAGAAGCCAUCAAAUCCAUCACCACUUCUUUCUUCCCCCUCUUCGCCACCAGCAUCAUCACUUAUACUCUCUACUUUUUUGUUUCUUUUUUCUUGACGUUUCUCAUUGGAAUUGUAUUGUUUCUCAUCGUUUAUCUAGGCAAUAUCGACC